UACGUAGGGUGCAAGCGUUGUCCGGAAUUAUUGGGCGUAAAGAGCUCGUAGGCGGUUUGUCGCGUCGGCUGUGAAAACCUGGGGCUCAACCCCGGGCCUGCAGCCGAUACGGGCAAACUAGAAUUCGGUAGGGGAGACUGGAAUUCCCGGUGUAGCGGUGAAAUGCGUAGAUAUCUGGAGGAACACCCGUAGCGAAGGCGGCACUCUGGGCCGGAACUGACGCUGAGGAGCGAAAGCGUGGGGAGCAAACAGG
rnacentral:rRNA from 1 species